AGAUGAUCUCUCCUCGAAGAAAUCGAUCGAAGAAGAUGAUCUCUCCUCGUCUCUCUCGCUCUCCAUGAAUCUCUCGACUCUCUUUGUGUUUUAAUUAAUUAGGAUUUGAGUUUUGAAUCAAUCUCUGAACCAGGGUGAUAUGAUUGCUCCUAUUCUCCACGGUAAAGUAUCAACCAACAUUAGUAGUAGCCCACAUCAGACUAAUCAGCCAUGUAUCGUAAAUUGUAGCAAAGGACGUGAAUCUGAGAUUCAACGAGCACUUGCGUUACAGCAUGCUUUAGAUGAGAAGGAAAUGGAGCCUGAGAUGCUAAAGAUUGUCAAGGGUUCAAAGACAAGAGUGCAAGCAAUGGUGGAUGCAGCUAUCAAGG